UACGUAGGGGGCAAGCGUUGUCCGGAUUUAUUGGGCGUAAAGAGCGUGUAGGCGGCCAGAUAAGUCCGCUGUGAAAUCUCGAGGCUCAACUUCGAGCUGUCGGUGGAAACUGUCUGGCUAGAGUCCGGAAGAGGAGAAUGGAAUUCCUGGUGUAGCGGUGAAAUGCGCAGAUAUCAGGAAGAACACCAGUGGCGAAGGCGGCUCACUGGCCCGGUACUGACACUGAGAGACGAAAAGCUAGGGGAGCGAAUGGG
rnacentral:rRNA from 1 species